rnacentral:rRNA from 1 species
UACGUAGGGUGCGAGCGUUAAUCGGAAUCACUGGGCGUAAAGCGCACGUAGGCGGAUUGUUAAGUCAGGGGUGAAAUCCUGGAGCUCAACUCCAGAACUGCCUUUGAUACUGGCGAUCUCGAGUCCGGGAGAGGUGAGUGGAACUCCGAGUGUAGAGGUGAAAUUCGUAGAUAUUCGGAAGAACACCAGUGGCGAAGGCGGCUCACUGGCCCGGUACUGACGCUGAGGUGCGAAAGCGUGGGGAGCAAACAGG